CACGUAGGGGGCAAGCGUUGUCCGGAUUUAUUGGGCGUAAAGAGCUCGUAGGUGGUUCGGUAAGUCAGGUGUGAAACCUCCAGGCUCAACCUGGAGACGCCACUUGAUACUGCUGUGACUGGAGUCCGGUAGGGGGAGCGUGGAAUUCCUGGUGUAGCGGUGAAAUGCGCAGAUAUCAGGAGGAACACCAGCGGCGAAGGCGGCGCUCUGGGCCGGUACUGACACUGAGGAGCGAAAGCGUGGGUAGCAAACAGG
rnacentral:rRNA from 1 species